rnacentral:lncRNA from 1 species
UUCCACCAUGUCUUUAUCAGAUUUGCCUUGAGCAUCUAAAAAAAUAAAACAAACACCACGCUUUUCCAUGCUGAUAACAACGGUAUAACGAAGUCCAAAACAAGCUGCAAUGCUGUUGGUUUUCAAAAAGCUUUUAGAACUGGAGAUGAGCAGUCCACUGUAACACUAUGUUUGGGUCAAGAUGAUGUAGCUUUUACAAUUCAUCCCUGGACCACUGCUUCUCUUUAUCUGUUAAAGGCACAUAUAUCACUCCCAUCAGAGGCUUCAUUUUGACACUGCCAUCUUCUAGUUUGUCAUACUGUUCAAGCAUCUGGUUUCCCCCUGCAGGACCAACUGGUAAUAUCAAUCUUCCGCCAGGUUUUAACUGAUCUAUAAGUGCUUGGGGCACAACUGGUGCUGCAGCUCCUACAUGAAUUGCAUCAUAGGGAGCUUCUUCUGCGUAUCCCAUUC